rnacentral:rRNA from 1 species
UACGAAGGGGGCUAGCGUUGCUCGGAAUCACUGGGCGUAAAGGGUGCGAAGGCGGCGCGGUAAGUCGGGUGUGAAAUCUUGGAGCUUAACUCCGAAACUGCAUUCGAUACUGCCGUGCUUGAGGACUGGAGAGGAGACUGGAAUUUACGGUGUAGCGGUGAAAUGCGUAGAUAUCGUAAGGAAGACCAGUGGCGAAGGCGGGUCUCUGGACAGUUCCUGACGCUGAGGCACGAAGGCCAGGGGAGCAAACGGG